AUCAACUUUCGAUGGUAGGAUAGAGGCCUACCAUGGUGGUAACGGGUAACGGGGUGUUAGGGCACGACACCGGAGAGGGAGCCUGAGAAACGGCUACCACAUCCAAGGAUGGCAGCAGGCGCGCAAAUUACCCGAUCCCGACACGGGGAGGUAGUGACAAUAAAUAACAAUACGGGGUUCUUAAGGAUCUCGUAAUUGGAAUGAGUACAAUUUAAAUCUCUUAACGAGGAACAAUUGGAGGGCAAGUCUGGUGCCAGCAGCCGCGGUAAUUCCAGCUCCAAUAGCGUAUAUUAAAGUUGUUGCAGUUAAAAAGCUCGUAGUUGAAUUUCGGGAUCAAUUUGUCGGUCGUGCCUCGGUACGUACUGGCAUUAUUGGUUUCUACCUUCUGAAGAACCUUGAUGUCAUUAAUUUGGUGUCUUGGGGAAUCAGGACUGUUACUUUGAAAAAAUUAGAGUGUUUAAAGCAGGCAUACGCUUGAAUACAUUAGCAUGGAAUAAUGAAAUAGGACGUUUGAUUCUAUUUUGUUGGUUUCUAGGAUCGACGUAAUGAUUAAUAGGGAUAGUUGGGGGCAUUAGUAUUCAAUUGUCAGAGGUGAAAUUCUUGGAUUUAUUGAAAGACUAACUACUGCGAAAGCAUUUGCCAAGGAUGUUUUCAUUAAUCAAGAACGAAAGUUAGGGGAUCGANNACGAUCAGAUACCGUCGUAGUCUUAACCNAAACUAUGCCCGACUAGGGAUCGGAUGAUGUUUAUUUUUAAUGACUCAUUCGGCGCCUUUACGGGAAACCCAAAGUGUUUGGGUUC
rnacentral:rRNA from 1 species